rnacentral:rRNA from 1 species
CCUACGGGUGGCAGCAGUGAGGAAUAUUGGUCAAUGGGCGAGAGUCUGAACCAGCCAAGUCGCGUGAGGGAGUACUGCCCUAUGGGUUGUAAACCUCUUUUGUCGGGGAGCAAAAUCCAGACGUGUCCGGCUGUGAGAGUACCCGAAGAAAAAGCAUCGGCUAACUCCGUUCCAGCAGCCGCGGUAAUACGGAGGAUGCGAGCCUUAUCCGGAUUUAUUGGGUUUAAAGGGGGCGCAGGCGGAUUUUUAAGUCAGCGGUAAAAUCGUGGGGCUCAACCCCAUCCAGCCGUUGAAACUGGGGAUCUAGAGUGUGCGAGAGGUAUGCGGAAUGCGUGGUGUAGCGGUGAAAUGCAUAGAUAUCACGCAGAACCCCGAUUGCGAAGGCAGCAUACCGGUGCACAACUGACGCUCAGGCACGAAAGCGUGGGUAUCGAACAGGAUUAGAUACCCCAGUAGUC